AACGAACGCUGGCGGCGUGGAUAAGACAUGCAAGUCGAACGAGAGAAUUGCUAGCUUGCUAAUAAUUCUCUAGUGGCGCACGGGUGAGUAACACGUGAGUAACCUGCCCCCAAGAGUGGGAUAGCCCCGGGAAACUGGGAUUAAUACCGCAUAAAAUCGCAAGAUUAAAGCAGCAAUGCGCUUGGGGAUGGGCUCGCGUCCUAUUAGUUAGUUGGUGAGGUAACGGCUCACCAAGGCGAUGACGGGUAGCCGGUCUGAGAGGAUGUCCGGCCACACUGGAACUGAGACACGGUCCAGACACCUACGGGUGGCAGCAGUCGAGAAUCAUUCACAAUGGGGGAAACCCUGAUGGUGCGACGCCGCGUGGGGGAAUGAAGGUCUUCGGAUUGUAAACCCCUGUCAUGUGGGAGCAAAUAA
rnacentral:rRNA from 1 species